UACGGGGGGGGCAAGCGUUGUUCGGAAUUACUGGGCGUAAAGGGCUCGUAGGCGGCCAACUAAGUCGGACGUGAAAUCCCUCGGCUUAACUGGGGAACUGCGUCCGAUACUGGAUGGCUUGAGUUCGGGAGAGGGAUGCGGAAUUCCAGGUGUAGCGGUGAAAUGCGUAGAUAUCUGGAGGAACACCGGUGGCGAAGGCGGCAUCCUGGACCGACACUGACGCUGAUGCGCGACAGCGUGGGGAGCAAACAGG
rnacentral:rRNA from 1 species